rnacentral:rRNA from 1 species
CGGCGGACGGGUGAGUAAUGCCUAGGAAUCUGCCUGGUAGUGGGGGACAACGUUUCGAAAGGAACGCUAAUACCGCAUACGUCCUACGGGAGAAAGCAGGGGACCUUCGGGCCUUGCGCUAUCAGAUGAGCCUAGGUCGGAUUAGCUAGUUGGUGAGGUAAUGGCUCACCAAGGCGACGAUCCGUAACUGGUCUGAGAGGAUGAUCAGUCACACUGGAACUGAGACACGGUCCAG